UACGAAGGGGGCUAGCGUUGUUCGGAAUUACUGGGCGUAAAGAGCGUGUAGGCGGCCCGAUAAGUCCGCCGUGAAAGUCCAGGGCUCAACCCUGGAAUGCCGGUGGAAACUGUCGGGCUGGAGUCCGGAAGAGGCGAGUGGAAUUCCUGGUGUAGCGGUGAAAUGCGCAGAUAUCAGGAGGAACACCAAUGGCGAAGGCAGCUCGCUGGGACGGUACUGACGCUGAGACGCGAAAGCGUGGGGAGCAAACAGG
rnacentral:rRNA from 1 species